GCUGAUCAUCAGGCUUGUCAAGCAAUAUGAAUACCAAAUCAAAUCGUGAUAACAAAGCAACAUUAAUUUUCAAAUGGCAUUACGCAUGGAGCACCGCUACUACCACCGCCUCCUCUUGCACUACAAAUGGCAUUACGCAUGGAGCUUAAUAAGCUCCCAUAAGUAGACGCGUUUCGAUGCUCUAUAGCUUCAAUAAAACAGAAAGUCAUGGCCCCUGUCGAUGUGAUCUUCAAUAGAGCCUAUGUAUCAGCAGAUGUUUGAUCAUCAUCACAACCAUUUAUGGAAAUAACCUCGCCGCCAUUACUACCUUUCUAUAUAC
rnacentral:lncRNA from 1 species